AUGAACAAAGCUAGUGGAGGUGAUGGCAUUCCAGUUGAGCUGUUUCAAAUCCUGAAAGAUGAUGCUAUGAAAGUGCUUCAAUCAAUAUGCCAGCACAUUUGGAAAACUCAGCAGUGGCCACAGGACUGGAAAAGGUCAGUUUUCAUUCCAAUCCUAAAGAAAGGCAAUGCCAAAGAAUGCUCAAACUACUGCACAAUUGCGCUCAUCUCACAUGCUAGUAAAGUAAUGCUCAAAAUUCUCCAAGCCAGGCUUCAGCAAUAUGUGAGCCGUAAACUCCCUGAUGUUCAAGGUGGUUUUAGAAAAGGCAGAGGAACCAGAGAUCAAAUUGCCAACAUCCACUGGAUCAUGGAAAACGCAAGAGAGUUCCAGAAAAACAUCUAUUUCUGCUUUAUUGACUUUGCCAAAGCCUUUGACUGUGUGGAUCACAAUAAACUAUGGAAAAUUCUGAAAGAGAUGGGAAUACCAGACCACCUAACCUGCCUCUUGAGAAAUCUGUAUGCAGGUCAGGAAGCAACAGUUAGAACUGGACAUGCAACAACAGACUGGUUCCAAAUAGGAAAAGGAGUAUGUCAAGGCUGUAUAUUGUCACCCUGCUUAUUGAACUUAUAUGCAGAGUACAUCAUGAGAAACGCUGGGCUGGAAGAAACACAAGCUGGAAUUGAGAUUGCUGGGAGAAAUAUCAAUAACCUCAGAUAUGCAGAUGACACCACCCUUAUGGCAGAAAGUGAAGAGGAACUAAAAAGCCUCUUGAUGAAAGUGAAAGAGGAGAGUGAAAAAGUUGGCUUAAAGCUCAACAUUCAGAAAAUGAAGAUCAUGGCAUCCGGUCCCAUCACUUCAUGGGAAAUAGAUGGGGAAACAGUGGAAACAGUGUCAGACUUUAUGUUUUGGGGCUCCAAAAUCACUGCAGAUGGUGACUGCAGCCAUAAAAUUAAAAGACACUUACUCCUUGGAAGAAAAGUCAUGACCAACCUAGAUAGUAUAUUCAGAAUCAGAGAUAUUACUUUGCCGACUAAGGUCCGUCUAGUCAAGGCUAUGGUUUUUCCUGUGGUCAUGUAUGGAUGUGAGAGUUGGACUGUGAAGAAGGCUGAGUGCCAAAGAAUUAAUUCUUUUGAACUGUGGUGUUGGAGAAGACUCUCGAGAGUCCUUUGGACUGCAAGGAGAUCCAACCAGUUCAUUCUGAAGGAGAUCAACCCUGGGAUUUCUUUGGAAGGACUGAUGCUAAAGUUGAAACUCCAGUACUUUGGCCACCUCAUGCGAAGAGUUGACUCAUUGAAAAAGACUCUGAUGCUGGGAGGGAUUGGGGGCAAGAGGAGAAGGGGACGACCCAGGAUGAGAUGGCUGGAUGGCAUCACAGACUCGAUGGGCAUGAGUCUGAGUGAACUCUGGGAGUUGGUGAUGGACAGGGAGGCCUGGCGUGCUGCGAUUCAUGGGGUCGCAAAGAGUCGGACACAACUGAGUGACUGA
rnacentral:lncRNA from 1 species